rnacentral:rRNA from 1 species
GACGAACGCUGGCGGCGUGCUUAACACAUGCAAGUCGAGCGGAAAGGCCCUUUCGGGGGUACUCGAGCGGCGAACGGGUGAGUAACACGUGAGUAAUCUGCCCUUGGCUUUGGGAUAACCACCGGAAACGGUGGCUAAUACCGGAUAUGACGGGCUCCGGCAUCGGGGUUCGUGGAAAGUUUUUCGGCCAGGGAUGUGCUCGCGGCCUAUCAGCUUGUUGGUGGGGUAAUGGCCUACCAAGGCUUCGACGGGUAGCCGGCCUGAGAGGGUGACCGGCCACACUGGGACUGAGACACGGCCCAGACUCCUACGGGAGGCAGCAGUGGGGAAUAUUGGACAAUGGGCGGAAGCCUGAUCCAGCAACGCCGCGUGAGGGAUGACGGCCUGGUUGUAACCGUACUUCUAGUA